rnacentral:lncRNA from 1 species
GCAUCAAAGCCUUGACUUUUCAAAGAGCCCACCAGGACUCUUGUUUUCUGUGCUGUAUGCCCUGAGGCUUCUUCAUCAGUUUUGAGAUCAAAGCCCCAUCAAGAACCCAUGAAGAACGGGGAGGCCUGUGGAGGCUGGCAGAGGUGAGUUGAGAGAGCUGCUGUCCAGGGAAACUGGAUCCUUGGUGAUCUGUCUGCUGGCGAGAGGGAGGCUGGGAAGGGCUGUGGGGGACAUCCACCACAGAAGAAGAGCUAAGCGUGCAUCAG